GUCCUUGUAGCGCAAUGGAUAGCGCGUUGGACUUCUAAUCCAAAGGCCGUGGGCUCGAGUCCUACCUGGGAUG